GGGCGCGGAGAGGGCCCCGCGCACGGCGCGCGCCCAGGCACGUUUCUCCAUCUCAGCCUCGCGAGCUCGCCAGAGACCGCGCGAAUACACCGAGCCCGGCGACCGAGGUUCCCGCGGGGCUGCGCGGCGGACUGCGUGGGCGGGGCCGCGGAGGUCACGUGGGCUGUGCUCUGGACUCCAGUGCUGUUCUUUCCGUGGGUCUGUGUAUCCAGAAGUGGCUGUGAAUCUGCACCUAAGGACUUGUCCUUACUGUCCCGGAGGUCCAAGUUCUCUAAGAGCCUUCUGGGUCACCGCAGGGACCAGUGGCGCUGGAAAAGUGCCUGCUGCUGAAAUAGCCAGGCAAGGCCUAACCUGGGCAGUAAAGGAGCCUCUGGGAUCACCGAGUGGCAGAAGUCUCCAUGCUGGAUUUCCUGCAUGAACUUGCUGUCCUGGGUCACCGAGCAGUGGUGUGCGUGCUGGAAAAGUUCUCCGCAUCUGUCCAAGCCUGUUCUCCAUGAAAAACUGAGGUUCCUGCAGAAGUUGUGGAAAUAAAUUGGGAAACGAUCUCCUCUCAAGAAGCUGAAGAUGUUCCUUUAUUUUCAUCCUCUCUAGAUCCGAAGUGGCACAGUUCACUUGGUUUGUGAUCCAGAACAGGCAGAGGGUGUCCACGGUGAGAUCAUCAGGAGAGUUGUAGCCAGAGUCCUCUGCGAGUGGUGUUUUCCUGGAAGGACUUUGGAGUGAACAGACAAGUGAGCAGAAUCGUCAGCAUCACCUGAAUGUGGGGGAAGAGCCAUCGGGCUGGGCAUAGUAGUGCAAGUUUGGAAACAGGUCCUGUGGCCCUAUUUUUCUUUACUUUGAAAUAGGUAUUGGGAUUUCUAGAUCAAUAAUGCAGGUCACAUGGUCAAUAAAAGAGCUCACAAAAGAUGGGUUUGAAAAAGCUUUGCUACUAAUACUCUACAAGCGAGUAUUUUAUAUUUCUUGCUUGUUUUUAGCAAAGUAAAUAUAGAUUAACCACAGAAGGAUCAAAAAUCAUUGAUUGAUUGUUUUGAUUCUUGGUCUUUGGUACAAUUACACUUGAUUUAAAUUUAUAGUUAAUUGCAUGUACUUUUCUUCAUAAAACAUUCUUUUCAUGUUUUUGUAAUAUGCAUCAACUCCUGAAUUACUUAGUGUUUUUCAAGUAUGUUUUUUCUAGGAAGCUCAAGGCUCAUUAUUUUGGAGAGAGCAAGUUUCAGCUCAAGUGGGGAGUGCAAAGAUAAGAACUUCAUUGUCUUAGUUCCUUUUGUUGUUGCUGAGAGGAAA